rnacentral:rRNA from 1 species
UACGUAGGGUGCAAGCGUUAAUCGGAAUUACUGGGCGUAAAGCGUGCGCAGGCGGUUAUGUAAGACAGUUGUGAAAUCCCCGGGCUCAACCUGGGGAACUGCAUCUGUGACUGCAUAGCUAGAGUACGGUAGAGGGGGGAUGGAAUUCCGCGUGUAGCAGUGAAAUGCGUAGAUAUGCGGAGGAACACCGAUGGCGAAGGCAAUCCCCCUGGACCUGUACUGACGCUCAUGCACGAAAGCGUGGGGAGCAAACGAGGAU